rnacentral:rRNA from 1 species
UACGAAGGGGGCUAGCGUUGUUCGGAAUUACUGGGCGUAAAGCGUGCGCAGGCGGUCUUCCAAGUCAGUGGUGAAAGCCCGGAGCUCAACUCCGGAACUGCCAUUGAAACUGUGAGACUCGAGUACGAGAGAGGUGAGUGGAAUUCCCAGUGUAGAGGUGAAAUUCGUAGAUAUUGGGAAGAACACCGGUGGCGAAGGCGGCUCACUGGCUCGUAACUGACGCUCAGGCACGACAGCGUGGGGAGCAAACAGG